CAAAACCUUAAAACUCCAUUCAAUAAACAUGACAGACCAAAUACAUACGUUUGUGGAUACAUGCAUGAAAAGAACAUAUAUAAGGACGCUGUGGCCCUAAAGGAAAAGUACACGUGAUUCUGAUGUGGCACACAACAAAAAAUGAGCAUACAAUGGCUUAUGUGCCAAAACAACCACCAAAAUGAGCAGAGUAAAAAUUGUCAAUGUCUCAAGUUCAAUAAACAACAUUACAUAAUCACUCCAACUUAAUUGUAGGUCUUCCAAAUCUUCAGCAGCCUGUAGAUAUUCCACACCUCCAUCAACUUGUGUAUCUUUGUGAAACCUGCAAUGGAUAGGAAACUCCACACGGAGCUCUCAUUUUCGAUUUUAAAUUGACACAUUAAAGAUUUUCACGUGCUACAGUUUAACUCGUCAGCAUAGAUAAAACUCUUCCAAAUGUGCAGCACUUCAUUGUCACAGCAAGCAACAUUACAAGUUAGAUCAAGAAGGAAUUAUUAGCACUACACAUACAAAAAUCUUCCAGGGGCAGAUAUGGCAAAACAUGAACUCAUACAAUUAAUUUGCACUGAACAUACAAGAGCUAACUUCUAAGUACACAAAGUAAUGCCAGGGAGAUGCUCAGACCAUUUUAGUCCAUGGACAAAAACUAAUGUACAAGGCUAGUGCCUCGCCAUUGCUAUGCAAGUAGCUAGGGUUAGGCGUCUAGUGCUCAUAAGAUAUGAUUACGUAGAAGGCGCAGCGUGUUGUGCAAAAGCAAAAAAUCCCCACUACUAACCUGAAUCACAUAAUGCAGCUAAAAUGGACAUAUUUUGUGAUCUUUUAAGUGGGAGUCUAACUUUUUAGUUUCCUGGUUCCAUGCUUUUGUUUUUGCAGUCAAAGUACAUUGAAGCACUUAAGGAGAAAGCAGAACAAUAUAAAAAAAAGAACAGGGCAUAGUGAAUGAGACAAACCUUCAUAAAGAGAGGAGCAUGGAAGUCCCACCUGUUUGCUGGCAAAUACAUGUUUGUAACAUCUAACUAUAGAAAGAAACUUGAAGAGGACAAAACAAUGGCUAGAGGUAGAAAGACAACAGCUUCAAGAAGUCAUGACGCAAUGCUAUUUCCAGUAGGGGCGGCAGUACAAAACACACUCGCCACCAGAAUGACCAUUCUGCUUUGCAUAAUCAGGAGACGAGAUGUUAACGAAGCACAUUAUAUUUGCUGAAUAAUUUUUAAUGCCUUGGCAAGCUGAAGGCUGCGAGCAUUUGUGCCCUUUUGUCUAUACUAUUGUAACAUGUAACUAGUGAUUUGUAACAAGAUUCUCGUAAUGACUCAAAUCAAUAGUAAUUUACCAGUCAGUGUUGGUAUAACUUAGUAGCGGAAUUCUAGGAUACAUGUAGCUUCGUAGUACAGAAAAUUAGGAUAAUGUUCCGUAAUGCUUGCCACAAGGCCAAGUUUAUGCAUGAGUAAUUUCAGGACAAACUGGACAGAGAGAUUAGGAAAUUAGAAACAAAAAAUCUAAUUAUCAUCUAAAUCUAAUCAGAAUCAAAAAAUUAAUCACGACUUCAGAAAAUACUAAUCAAACAUCUAUGUAUUUAAGCAUAAGAACUUCAGGUUACCUUUUUUGCAAAACAGAGGAUACAUGUGCUCAGAUUUCAAGCAAGUUUUUCUGUAAAUUUUAUGCUGGACAGAUUGCUUUGCACUUAAUUAAGGACAAUUGAGAUACGGGUCCAUGAACUAACCCCAAAUAGCAAUAUGAUAAAGCCAAAAGCCUUAAGUUUUCACAGCAACCAUUCCUACAACUACUGAGUCAUCAUGCUGUCACGUCAUUGCAGUACAUAUACUUGUCAUCAAAAAAGGGCAGCCCCAGUGCAUGUAGCUCCCGCUUGCGCAGGGCCUGGGGAAGGGUCCAACCACUUUGGGUCUAUUGUACGCAGCCUUUCCCUACAUUUCUGUAAGAGGCUGUUUCCAGGACUUGAACCCGUGACCUCAUGGUCACAAGGCAGCAGCUUUACCACUGCGCUAAGGCUCCCCUUCACAUAUACUUGUCAUCAGUAUAUAAAAAAUAGAAGAGUGCACAUACAUGUAACUAUCUAAUCAGCAAGUAAUUAGACUUAGACCAAUAGGAAAGGAAAUGUAUUUUUAAGUGGACAAUCAUGUUAAUUCUUGUGCAUAGUCCAUACAAGAGUAUAGCUGAACAUAAACAAACAGCCUAAAAGGUUUGUACUUACUCAUCAAAUACUACCAAUCUGAAUGUCUUUUCAUGCUCAAUGAGAUUGAAUGGCACAAUGUUGUAGAUCAGCCCUUCACUUAGCUGGCCCCUGAAUUCUCUAGAGCAUCCAUGAUGCUGCCCUACACGUGUGAGUCAAAUAGUAUCAUAGUCAGAGGAGAUGAUUCGUUAGAUACAAAGUGAAAAAUGUACAACACCAGCAGCAGUAGAACGACGUAUCAAUAAUCGAAAAUGUAUGUCAAUCGCGUCGCAUGGCAAACAAGACAUGAUUAGAGGUAGACACAUGGAUGAACUUUGGUGACCAUGUGGAGCUUGAGAUUGAUUCCAAAAACUAACUCUCAUUAUGAAACAAUCAACAGAUUGCUCUGAUCUGAUGCCAUUUCAACAUGUAGCCAACAGGGGAAACUUUCUUGAACAACAUUCAGAAAAUUUCCCCUCUUUCCUGAUUCGUCCUAACAUCCUAACCUACUCAUCUCCUAGUUAAGUUGUUAUUUUAGGUGGCAGCAGAUCUGGAAAGAACGGCGGAAAAAAUCAUUCUUUUGCCACUGGGCUACCAUGGUCCCAGUAAACACAAUACAGAGAAAGAAAGGCGAACCUUGCUGCUGCGCCAUUGCUCGUGGACCUGCAUGACAAGGUACUGUACUACUAGGGUUAUAUUACUUGUUUGUGGCACUGCAAUAAAGCCUUUUCUAAAAUCUGAACCACAUUCACUAGUUAAAACUUUAUACUAUAGAAGUAGUACUCCACUUUCAGUCUACAUUUGCAGCAAAAAUAUACAGAAAGAAGUUCUCUAGCUAUAUUUGCAACACGAGUAAAGCUUUUCCCCCCAAAGCUUGCAUGUAGUACUCCUACUGGGUUUCACUGAUUUAGUAUGCAGUUGGAGCACCCAUUUGCUUCAAUGGAGGAUCUCUUCACCAUAAGCAAAACUUGGGCUAUCGGAUGGCAAAGCUAGUCGUUAUCUUCACAACUGUAGUGCCAUAUAAACUCAAACACUAUCUGAAGUCGUUCUAGUUACUGCUCAGAACAAAAGGGAACAGAAGUUUGCAAAGAUUGAUAUCUCACCGGCCAAGUGCUCUCGGUAGGCAAGGAGGCGGCGCUGCCCCUGGGAGAGGAUGUAGAGGAGCUGGAGCUUCUCGGGAGAGCGGUCGUACAGGAAGGUCCGGUGCUCGGGUGAGGGAGACAGGAGGCGGCCCAGCUUAGUGCUUGGGGAAGGAUGCUCGUGGAGGAGGAGGAGGCCCUACUCGGGGGAGAAAUCUUGAGGAGGAGGCCUGCUCAGCGGAGGAUACCUUGGCUGUUUUGGGGAUGGAGGGCGGUCGGCAGCGUUCCUUGGAGGAAGCAAGCGCUGGGUGCAGCGGGGGAUGGGGAGGUAGCAGCGAAGGGUUUCAUUGGUAGAGGACGGCGGUCAGCGGCGACUGUGUUCCGGGAGGAAGCCGGCGCUGCGGUCAAGUGGUUGGUGGCGGCGGCGGCGUGGACGUGUUUGAGGAUUAGGUUUUGGAAGAUUU
rnacentral:lncRNA from 1 species